GCCGAUUAUAGAUUUGGAAUAUUUUAAUGGUCGGUAAUUAAACAAACAUCAAAACCAACCACUCACCUUUAAAAUUAGGCAGAUCACAUGUAUGCCAACUACUACAUUUUCUUUCUCCCUUCCCUCGUCUGCCUGCUGUGAGGCAAUCUGUGGGCAAUUGUGGUAACCAGUUUCUUACUGGUGAUUGCCAGCAAAAGAAAUUGCUGUUG
rnacentral:misc_RNA from 1 species